ensembl:misc_RNA Gm26323 predicted gene, 26323
GGGUUGAUUCGGAUGAUCUGGCUGGCUAGGUGGGUGUCCCCUUCCUCCCUCACCACUCCAUGUGCAUCCCUCCCGAAACUGUACCUCGGUUGAAGAGGAAGACCUUCCAGGAAUAGAGGAGGACCGGUCUUCGGUAUAGGAGUAGCUGCGCUCCCCUGCUAGAACCUCCAAACAA